rnacentral:rRNA from 1 species
UACGUAGGGUCCGAGCGUUGUCCGGAAUUAUUGGGCGUAAAGGGCUCGUAGGCGGUUUGUCACGUCGGGAGUGAAAACUCAGGGCUCAACCCUGAGCGUGCUUCCGAUACGGGCAGACUAGAGGUAUGCAGGGGAGAACGGAAUUCCUGGUGUAGCGGUGGAAAUGCGCAGAUAUCAGGAGGAACACCGGUGGCGAAGGCGGGUCUCUGGGCCGAUACUGACGCUGAGGAGCGAAAGCGUGGGGAGCGAACAGG